ACACAUCGGUUCGAAAACAUGCUUUAAGUGUAGCGUCAGACUUUUAAACCUCCAUGAUUUUAUGCCCAAAAGGUUUUUUAAAUCAUCAGAGGAACAGUGAAGCUUGAUCUUCAUUACUGAAUAUUUUUAUUCUACAAAUGUUUGGGUCAGCAGAUGAACGUUUUCUGUUUUUUGUUAUUUCUGCAGAGUCCAAACCUUUUAAAUAUCAGGAAGUUCAUUUCAUAACUUACAAACGACCAAUAAUACCUAUAUACUAUAAAUGAUUUAUACGUGUACAAAAUUUUGACAAUUUUAAAGUUUUUAUUUUCUUUACGUUUUGUUUUCAUGAAAGAAGUUCAACCAAACUCUAAAUUUACAACUAAACGUCUGUCAAAUAUAAAAUUCUGCAGUUUUCAGGUAAAUGGUUCAUCUGUUUUGUAACAAAUGAAGAGGAAGUGAUGAGAAAACUGAUGAGGAAACAAAAAGCAAGAGAUGAUGAAAAAGUAAGAAAUGAAGAGGAAGAGAUGGGGUAACUGAUGAGGAAACAAAGAGCAAGAGAUGAGGAAAAAGUAAGAAAUGAAGAGGAAGUGAUGAGGAAAAAGUAAGAAAUGAAGAGGAAGUGAUGAGAAAACUGAUGAGGAAACAAAGAGCAAGAGAUGAGGAAAAAGUAAGAAAUGAAGAGGAAGUGAUGAGGAAAAAGUAAGAAAUGAAGAGGAAGUGAUGAGGAAAAAGUAAGAAAUGAAGAGGAAGUGACGAGAAAACUGAUGAGGAAACGAAGAGGAAGUGAUGAGGAAAAAGUAAGAAAUGAAGAGGAAGUGAUGAGAAAACUGAUGAGGAAACGAAGAGGAAGUGAUGAGGAAAAAGUAAGAAAUGAAGAGGAAGUGAUGAGGAAAAAGUAAGAAAUGAAGAGGAAGUGAUGAGAAAACUGAUGAGGAAACAAAGAGCAAGAGAUGAGGAAAAAGUAAGAAAUGAAGAGGAAGUGAUGAGGAAAAAGUAAGAAAUAUAGAGGAAGUGAUGAGAAAACUGAUGAGGAAACAAAGAGCAAGAGAUGAGGAAAAAGUAAGAAAUGAAGAGGAAGUGAUGAGGAAAAAGUAAGAAAUGAAGAGGAAGUGAUGAGGAAAAAGUAAGAAAUGAAGAGGAAGAGAUGAAAAAACUGAUGAGGAAACAAAGAGCAAGAGAUGAGGAAAAAGUAAGAAAUGAAGAGGAAGUGAUGAGGAAAAAGUAAGAAAUGAAGAGGAAG